rfam:Camelus ferus unplaced genomic scaffold scaffold1675, whole genome shotgun sequence.
GAAGGGUAGAGUUCAGUGGUAGAACAUGUGCUUAGCAUGCAUGAGGUCCUGGGUUCAAUUCCCAGUCCCUCCA